UGGCUGGUCUUUUUUUUCUCUCUCUCUCUUUUUCAGAGUAAUUCUUCCCUCCUGGACCCUCAAACCAUAUAUUUUGUGCUGAGUGAUCUUAUCCACAUAAUGGCUUCAGCCACAGUCAAAAUGCAGAGGAUUCCUGUAUUUCAAUGUCUACUCUGGAGCUCUCAGUUGCGUUCUGGAUCUGUGUAUCCACCUGGCCACUUGACGCCUCCACUUGGAUGUCCCACAGGCAUCUCCAAUGCAAAAUGACUCAUGACCUUCUCCUCCCCAUCAGCACUCUCACAGGAGUUCCUGUCUAAGGAAAUGGGUGAGCUUGCUAUCCUUGUGGCACAGGGCCUUUUGCA
rnacentral:lncRNA from 1 species